GACGAACGCUGGCGGCGUGCUUAACACAUGCAAGUCGAACGAAGUGGCGAACGGGUGAGUAACGCGCAAUCAACCUGCCCUUCAGAGGGGGACAACAGUUGGAAACGACUGCUAAUACCGCAUACUGAAGGAGGGGCUGGCGUCUGAGUAGCUAGUUGGAGGGGUAACGUCCCACCAAGGCGAUGAUCAGUAGGCGGUUUGAGAGGGUGAACGGGCACAUCGGGAAUGGGAACCGGGCCAGGCUCCUUCGGGAGGGAGCAGGUGGGAAUCUUCCGCAAUGGACGAAAGUCUGACGGAGCAACGCCGCGUGAGGGAUGACGGCCUUCGGGUUGGAAAGCUCUGUUAAGCGGGACGCGGUACCGGAAUAGAAAGCCACGGCUAACUACGUGCCAGCAGCCGCGGUAAUAC
rnacentral:rRNA from 1 species